GGACUAGUAGUCAAGUGGUUAAGACAUAGCCCUUUCACAGCUAUUACCGCAGGUUCGAAACCUGUCUAGUCUA
rfam:Stachybotrys chartarum IBT 40288 unplaced genomic scaffold C40866, whole genome shotgun sequence.